AUGGCGCCGGCGCCGCCCUCGCCGUGCUCGGACCAUCCUUUGGACGACGACCUCCACGACCCAGCAGGCCCUGAGCAGAUGGGCACGAGGAAGGUGAGGCUGCCGGGCCGCUGGUGCCUGUGCAAGCUCGGCGACAUCUCCGGGGACGACGACGACCAGCCCGACGCUGCCAGCUGGGAGACGGAGGAGCCCAGCGGGGUAUUUCUGGACUGCGGAGACGACAAGGACGCAACGGACCAGGAGGAGGAAGACCACCGCGGCACCGACACGGAGGAGUGGGAGGAGGCGGAGGAGGAGGAAGACCACCACGACACUGACAUGGAGGAGUGGGAGGAGGAGGAGGAGGAAGACCAGCACGACACUGACAUAGAGGAGUAG
rnacentral:rRNA from 1 species